rnacentral:rRNA from 1 species
AUUGAUGGCGACCGGCGCACGGGUGAGUAACGCGUAUGCAACUUACCUAUCAGAGGGGGAUAGCCCGGCGAAAGUCGGAUUAAUACUCCAUAAAACAGGGGUCCCGCAUGGGACUAUUUGUUAAAGAUUCAUCGCUGAUAGAUAGGCAUGCGUUCCAUUAGGCAGUUGGCGGGGUAACGGCCCACCAAACCGACGAUGGAUAGGGGUUCUGAGAGGAAGGUCCCCCACAUUGGUACUGAGACACGGACCAAACUCCUACGGGAGGCAGCAGUGAGGAAUAUUGGUCAAUGGCCGAGAGGCUGAACCAGCCAAGUCGCGUGAAGGAUGAAGGAUCUAUGGUUUGUAAACUUCUUUUAUAGGGGAAUAAAGUGUGGGACGUGUUCCAUUUUGUAUGUACCCUAUGAAUAAGCAUCGGCUAACUCCGUGCCAGCAGCCGCGGUAAUACGGAGGAUGCGAGCGUUAUCCGGAUUUAUUGGGUUUAAAGGGUGCGUAGGUGGUAAUUUAAGUCAGCGGUGAAAGUUUGUGGCUCAACCAUAAAAUUGCCGUUGGAACUGGGUUACUUGAGUGUGUUUGAGGUAGGCGGAAUGCGU